AUUGAACGCUGGCGGCAUGCCUUACACAUGCAAGUCGAACGGCAGCAUGAUCUAGCUUGCUAGAUUGAUGGCGAGUGGCGAACGGGUGAGUAAUACAUCGGAACGUGCCCUGUAGUGGGGGAUAACUAGUCGAAAGAUUAGCUAAUACCGCAUACGACCUGAGGGUGAAAGUGGGGGACCGCAAGGCCUCAUGCUAUAGGAGCGGCCGAUGUCUGAUUAGCUAGUUGGUGAGGUAAAGGCUCACCAAGGCGACGAUCAGUAGCUGGUCUGAGGGGACGAUCAGCCAAACUGGGACGGAGACACGGCCGCGACUCCUACGUGAGGCAGCAGUGGGGAAUUUUGGACAAUGGGGGCAACGCUGAUCCAGCAAUGCCGCGUGUGUGAAGAAGGCCUUCGGGUUGUAAAGCACUUUUGUCCGGAAAGAAAUCGCACUUACUAAUAUUAGGUGUGGAUGACGGUACCGGAAGAAUAAGGACCGGCUAUCUACGUGCCAGCAGCCGCAGUAACAC
rnacentral:rRNA from 1 species